GAUGAAGAACGCAGCGAAAUGCGAUAAGUAAUGUGAAUUGCAGAAUUCAGUGAAUCAUCGAAUCUUUGAACGCACAUUGCGCCCGCCAGUAUUCUGGCGGGCAUGCCUGUCUGAGCGUCAUUUCAACCCUCAUGCCCCUAGGGCGUGGUGUUGGGGAUCGGCCAAAGCCCACGAGGGACGGCCGGCCCCUAAAUCUAGUGGCGGACCCGUCGUGGCCUCCUCUGCGAAGUAGUGAUAUUCCGCAUCGGAGAGCGAUGAGCCCCUGCCGUUAAACCCCCAACUUUCCAAGGUUGACCUCAGAUCAGGUAGGAAUACCCGCUGAACUUAAGCAUAUCAAUAAGCGGAGGA
rnacentral:misc_RNA from 1 species